rnacentral:rRNA from 1 species
UUUAAUUGAAGACUAGAACAAAAGAUUAAACAUUUUAAUUAAUUUAUUUAAUUAAUCACUUAAAUUUUUCUUAAAUGUAACAAGACAUUUCUCUAAAAGAAAGACAACAAGACCCUAUUGAACUUUACUAAAGUUUAACUGGGGCAGUUAAUUAAUAAUCAUUUUAAUCAAAAUUAAAUAAAAAAAAUCCAAUAUCAUUGAUUAAUGACUUAGUUACCAUAGGGAUAACAGCGCAAUAAUCUUCCAUAGCCCUUAUAUAAAAGAAAGAUUACGACCUCGAUGUUGAAUUAAUUACCUUAUUUAAGCAAAAGAAAAUAAAGGAAGUCUGUUCGACUUUUAAAAAAUUACAUGAUUUGAGUUCAGACCGGUGUAAGCCAGGUCGGUUUCUAUCUUCUAUAUUCAUAUUUACAGUACGAAAGGACCUUAAUAACUAAUUUAAUUAUUAAAUUAGCAAAAAAUGCAUUAGAAUUAGAAUCUAAAAAAACUUUAAUCCUUUUAACCUUAUCCUUUCUACUUAUUACUAUUAGA